rnacentral:lncRNA from 1 species
GGCGCGGUCCUUCCAGCCUCUUGCUCCUGUGAAUCACAGGUCGGCGGGAGCCUUUUUUCCUUUUUUUUUUUUUCCCGGGGAGUCGGCCUCGGGGCUCUGCUCUCCUACCUCAGUCUGCCCUACCCUGGAAUGGGGAAAAUGCGGACAUGCCACUCAGUCCGGCCGCGAACAGUGCUCCAGAACUCAGAGAGUUUUCCAGACGGGUGGAGAUCGCGUUCCCUGCCCGCCGAGGUCCCAUCGCUUCCCUGCUGGGAAGACAAAUGAGGCGCUUUAGCCGUCUCCACGGCCAGCCCCUCCCUCAUAACCCGAGAUUCUUUGUGGGCUCUUAGUCCAUAGCUGCCUUUGAGGUGGUGUAGACCUUGCUAACCAGGACGGCCCAGUAGGCAGAGCUCAUUUUUAUUCCUGUCUGCAAUCGUGCAAAAACGCCUCUUAUGGAAAAGCCAGAGCGCCAGGAGUCAGCAAAACACACUAAAGAUUGGGCAGUCACUGGGGAGAACACUCAGCCCGCCUGCACCCAGGUGAAAUAUACAGCCUUGUUGCUCACACAAAGCCUGUUUGGUGGUUUCUUCACACGGAUGCAUGUGACAUUUGGUGCUGAAGACCCAGGACAGGAGGACUCCUUUGGGAGACCAGUGCCCUGUUGUCGCCCUCACUCCGUGAGGAGAUCCACCUAUGAUCUCAGGUCCUCAGACCAACCAGCCCAAGGAACAUCUUGCCAAUUUCAAAUCGGAUAGGAGUGUCAGGCCUCUGAGUCCAAGCUAAGCCAUCAAAUCCCCUGUGACCUGCACGUGUACAUCCAGAUGACCUGAAGCAACUGAAGAUCCACAAAAGAAGUGAAAGUAGCCUUAACUGAUGACAUUCCACCAUUGUGAUUUGUUCCUGCCCCACGCUAACUGAUACCAUAUAUUCUUCCCCCGCCCUUGAGAAUGUACUUUGUACACCUAUCCCAAACCUAUAAGAACUAAUGAUAAUCCUACCACCCUUUGCUGACUCUCUUUUUGGACUCAGCCCGCCUGCACCCAGGUGAAAUAAACAGCCCUGUUGCUCACACAAAG